CUCAGGCAAUGAAGACUUUAACAAAUGGCCCCUUUCGCGGUCUACCCUACCCUACAUGUAGAAUCCAUUGCGUGCCAGUGACGACAGGAUUUUUUGAGAGAAUUACACUUUUAAAUCACUCACCUUCAUGACGGGUUGAGCAAAGUAUUUGGCACUCCAGUCACAAAGACCCGUCUGCAGACUCACACUGAUGAAGCUCCUGUGAGCGGCGGCCUCAUCUCCAUCCUCAGCAGUCUGAGAAAUACACAGACAAAUGACAACAUGCAACUGAAUUGCCAAAGGGCCCUUGUCAAACAUCUUCCUGAUGCGUGGGAACUGCUGUGAGUGGGGCGCCUGACCACCCA